CCCCGGACUAACGUCCGGGGCUACAGCCUGCCGUCGCGUUGCGACU
rnacentral:sRNA from 1 species